ACCUUUCUGAUAAGGCUUACUUAGUUUUAACCUUUCCUUCUCCUUUAAAUUACAUUUUAAAUACAUUUUAUAUUUGACAGCCCAUAAUGUUCGUCAUAUCCGACUACUAGAACAAUGGAAAUGGCAAAAUUUAGAUGGCAAUAGGAGAGGGACAGUCUGCAACAAGCUACAACAAAAACAUAGACUGCAGGCUGCCAUGGCUUUGCCAGCUUGUUGUUCAGUAUCACCUCUCAUUCCUAGCAAAAUGAUGGUAGUGACCAGUCAUUUAGGGUGGUCUCCAGAGAUUUUUUAUUUCCCAGUAGUGCCACGUGGGAAGUAGGAACUACAUAUUGGGUACCACCUUAUACCACAGGUAGAAUUUAUUUGCCAAUGUUUCUAGUUCUAGUAGACGUCAGAAAAUUCUUGCAUAAGAUUUUGUCUUUUGUCUGAGAACAGUGGAGGAUGAACUGCCCCUCUUCACCUGUUAUCACUUUGAAUAAGGGAGCAACUCCACAGUGCGUCUCAAGCCGACAUGUCGCCAUGCGGCGAAACGCAUGCAACGUUUCUGAUGUUCUGAAGAUACAGGAAGUGAAAGAGAAAUUGCAGUAUGGAACGAAAAAAUGAAACCACAUGGACAAAUUAAAUUGCUACAGGUAGGACUACACGAACGAUUUUGGCACGAUCCGACGCGCUGCGACAAAACUCGUGACAAAAAUAAGUUCUAUCUCUUGAAACAAUAUAGCAGAGGUAAGUUCUCCUCCAGGUCUUAUAACAGAUACUACUUCCAAGAACCAUUACGUUUGCAAACAGCUGGAAAAGAGAUGAAAUGUUUUCAAUAAAUAUACAAGUAUAUUGGAACUUUGCUUAGAUUUGCAGUUUCUAAACACUAACAAUUUAAUAACUAUAAUAAUUACAUCACUGUAUACAUGAGAAAUACGAAUAGGUUUGCUUUAUAGCUUACCAUAUCCUGCCAUGGAGCCUCCAUUUCCACCAUUCAUUAGAUCUUUGUUCUCCUCAGCCAAAGCUUUGACAUAUCUUCUGCUCAAGUCUAAUAUUUCAUCUCUGAGCUCCUCGCUGCUCUGGUGUCUCGGAUACUGGAACGUGUAGCGCAGCAACAUCAGUCCCCAGACGAAUCCAAAAGCAAGGAGUAAAAUACUCAGUUUCUGUGAGACAGACUUUCUUGAAAACGUUAAAAUCAUGAUUUCAGCAGAUGUCAGGAAUCAGGUGUGUCCCCAGGAUUCACAAAAAGCGGUGACAGUCAAAUCUGUCUGUGCAGAUCAUCCUGGAAAUGACUCUCGUGGUGCCUGAUGCUUAUCUGUAGAUACCUAACAAUAACAGAUCUCUUAUCGGUAGUAUUACAAUUGGUUCUUUCCUAGCAGGUUUGCUGAACGCGGACAUCGUCUGCUAAACACGAAGGAUUAUGAACGAGGUUGAGAAAGGGUGCGAGAUGCCCUCAAAACGUGGCAACGAUUCAUAACUCUGUACAGAUAAGUUAUGAGACGAACUUUAUUACUCACUGCUAUUGUGGAACUGCACAGAACUUUAUACAGAAUGUUAUACAGACAUGCUAUGAAAAUUUGCAUAUAUGCACUGAAUGUGCCAUUGUUUUUUUGUAUCUGAAAUAAAUGCUACAUUUUAUGGA